GAGGGUAUAGCUUAGUGGUAGAGUGCAUGCUUAACAUGCACGAGGUCCUAGGUUCAAUCCCCAGUACCUCCA
rnacentral:tRNA from 1 species